CAGCCGCCGCGGUAAUACGUAGGUGGCGAGCGUCGUCCGGAUUUAUUGGGCGUAAAGGGAGUGUAGGCGGUCUUUUAAGUCUGAUGUGAAAGCCCACGGCUCAACCGUGGAGGGUCAUUGGAAACUGGGAGACUUGAGUGCAGAAGAGGAGAGCGGAAUUCCAUGUGUAGCGGUGAAAUGCGUAGAUAUAUGGAGGAACACCAGUGGCGAAGGCGGCUCUCUGGUCUGUAACUGACGCUGAGGCUCGAAAGCGUGGGGAGCAAACAGGAUUAGAUACCCCCGUAGUCCCUGUCUCUUAUAC
rnacentral:rRNA from 1 species